AACAAUUAAUUAAAAUAAACAGAAAAAAGGGAAUAAGCUGAGAUUGGGGAUUAGGGUUCGUUGUUGCGACGUUUCUCCUUCCUUCUCAUUCUCCCCCCUUUUGUUCACUCAUCCACAGCGACCGGAGAAACUCCUCCUCCUCCGCCGUGAUUCAAUUAAUCAGCCAUCAUCAACUCCUCUCUUGAUUCCUCACCUUCAUCCCCGAUCUCAUCUCAACUUAACAAAUUUCUCAAGCGUGUGCCCCUUGCGUUUCGAAUCGUUUCUGUUCAAUUAUCAUAAAGAAACAAGGAAAUAGAGAAGACGGAAUAACUUACUUACCGGAGGGAGCGUCCGGUGCUUCUUGCACGGCGGCGAUGAAGAGCAAAUCGGAGAAAAUCUCGGCGCCUCUUCAAGCUCGAAUUUGCAGAAAUUGGUGGCGCGCGUUGAAGAAGAUGUUAUUCAGAACAUGAUGAAGAUUAUCGGUGUACAAUGUUUGAUGGUGAUUGAUGGAAGCGCUGCAAAAUCGGAGAAUGCUUGCCGAUUUGAAUCACGUUCACUGCGGGAAGAACAAAGUAAUUUUUUGAAAUCGAAUCUGCUACGCGGCGAUAUUGAUGAUGAUGGACUCAGCAGUGAUGAAGAUUGAAGAUGGUGUUGAAGGAAAUGAAUGGAUAUGAUGACUGAGAUAUGAAGAAGAACGAAGAAGAUGGUUUGAUCUGAGAGGAGUGUUGGAAGAUUGAAGGUGAAGAGUGGGGAGUGAUGAAUGAAGAGGUGAAAGAGUCCAGGGAGAGCAGAGGUGUGGAGUGGUGAAGAAGAGAAUGAUGGAGGUGAUGAGGUGAAGAGAGGAAGCUGAAGAAUGGAUCAGUGUUCAGUUAUAUAGAGUUUAUAGGAUAUUGGGGAUCAAAAACCAUAUGCUCUGGGUACCCAUUAUUUUCUGGUGAAACCUGAUUCCAGCUAGAUACACUUUCAGUUGUACCUGUUUCUGCCAAAGCUCCAGCAACAGACUGGGCAGUUUGCUGCAGAUAAGAGACUUCUGUUUUUUCGAUCAGAAGCAGCAGACCAAUCUACAUCCGUAUCGGCUUCCGAGUUUUACUGACUGGUAUUGGAACUGGAUUUCAAUCGAACUCAAACUGAAACGACCUUAGGCCAGAAUGACUUGUGAUGGCAGGAUGCUUGUUUUUGAACUGGGCUGAGUUUGUGUGAACCGACUUUCUCAAUUGUUGCGUUUCGGUUUUAUUUGGAUUCAUUUUCAAGGCCAGUUUAUUUUGUUAAUUUUAUAUGUUAGAAUUUGGCUUGCAGCUUGAAGAAAGGACUUGUUUUUGUAAUGAUUGGUAUAAAUUCAAAGUGAGUUUGGAAUGGUUUUUUUUGCAAGUUUGGAACUUGAAUAGCGAAGCACAUUCAGUAGGAUCUGCUUCCAUUCUUCAGCAUGUGGGGCUAGCAUAUCAUUUGAUUCACUUCUUUUAUCCAACAACACUAGGUCCUUCACAAUUGUCGCAAACCAAAUACCUGGUAUUCGAUACAUCCUCCGCUUGCAGCAGGGUGGUUUUGAAAUAGAAUGAGGUUUAGUCGUAAGAUAGGAUAUGAGGCCAAAUAACCUUGUGUAAUUUUCUGUAACUUUGUGUGAAUUUUGUACAUGUAAUAAAUGAUGGACAUGGUUUGAUGUGGAUUUAUACUGGUUUAUGUGUAUUUUGUAGAGAUUAUUGAAUUUGGAUGAUAAUGUUUGUAUUGUGAUGAA